UACAUCACAAUAACGACACAAUGACACAACAUACACUCACACUGUCAUACAUAUCGCUCUCUUCUAAAAUUCAAAGCCCUAAUUUUAAAUCUUCUUGUUCUCCCCCAAUUAUUUUCAGACGCAAUGAGCAGGUCGAGUAAGGUUCUGUAUGUUGGCAAUCUCCCUGGCGAUGUUCGCGAGCGCGAAGUCGAAGAUAUUUUUUACAAGUAUGGACCAAUUGCUCAUGUUGACUUGAAAAUUCCACCAAGACCGCCUGGCUAUGCAUUUGUUGAGUUUGAAGAGGCUCGUGAUGCUGCUGAUGCUAUGAGGGGACGUGAUGGCUAUGAUUUUGAUGGUCAUCGCUUACGGGUUGAGCUUGCACAUGGCGGGCGUGGAAAUGGUAAUUUAUCUUCAUCAGAUCGCCAUAGUAAUCAUGGCGGUGGUCGUGGUGGUGGUGGACGUGGUGGAGGUGUGUCGAGGCGUUCAGAUUAUCGUGUCAUGGUGAGCGGAUUACCCUCUUCUGCAUCAUGGCAAGACCUUAAGGAUCAUAUGCGUCGUGCAGGAGAUGUAUGCUUUGCCCAAGUUUUUCGUGAGGGUGGCGGCACAACUGGUAUUGUUGAUUAUACGAACUACGACGAUAUGAAAUAUGCUAUAAGGAAAUUGGAUGACUCUGAAUUCAAAAAUGCCUUCUCUCGUGGUGUAAUUCGAGUGAAGGUUUAUGAUUCAAGCCGCAGUCCAGGUCCCUCCAGAGGCCGAAGUUACAGUCGCAGCCGCAGUCGUAGUCGAAGUAAGAGUCGGAGCAGGAGUAAGAGCAAAUCUCCAAAACCUAAAUCUUCACGCCGUUCAAGAUCUCGUUCAAGAUCUGUAUCUUCUCGCUCUCGGUCGCGCUCUAGAUCGAAGCCGCGUGCUCUGUCAAGAUAUUGGAUAUUUGCGGCAUCUCUGGGGAUUGCAUGUUAAAUUCUCGAUGAGACUUGGUUCAAAUGCCAUAUUUGGUUGUGGAGAUAGGAGUUAUCUUGACCAAAGCUUUGAAAGCCUAUCGGGUGUGUCUGUUUAAAUAAGCAUCGGGAAUGUCAAGGGUGCUAUAUGGGACAAAGCAGAUUAUGGAUUUUGAUGGUAAAGCUGGUUCUUGAACUUAGUUCUUUUGAAUCUGGAACUACCAUCCUUUGCCGUGGAAACAUAUAAUUUUGUCCCAUCAAAUGCUGUCAAGCUAAUGAAGCACGCUAUUCAAACUUUAUGGGAUUUUCGGAUCACGGUCAAGGUCCAGGUCUCCAGCACCACCUCGGCAGAAACGUGUUAGUAAAAGCCCCAAAAAGAGCAAGAGUCCAAGUCCACGUCCAAGUCGUAGCCGUAGCAAUAGUGGGUCCAGGUGAUCUCGAAACGCUGUGGGUGAGACUGAGGUGUAUUGCGGAUUGAUGUCAAUGCAUGUGCUUAUCAGUACCAAUCUCUAAUUAUAAACUAAGUUUUAAUUGGUGUACUAGUGAAUUUGAAUCUGAAUGGUUAGAAACCAACUUGUCCUUGUUAUGCUGUACUGUUUUUUUUAAUCUUAAUAUUUAUACCAUCUCUCCAGACUUUAGAAAA